rnacentral:lncRNA from 10 species
CGACGCUGCAGGGCCGACGGGCUGCGUGCGCGAGGAGCGGGCGUGGUUCCGGGAGGAGGGCGAGGGGGAGCGGACCAAGAGCUGAAACACGCCCCGGGCGCACACCACGGUGCCCGGAACCGCGGGGCUCGGGGACCCGCGGGGGUCGGAGUCCGGGCCCACUACCUGGGCUGGCGGUGGACCUGGCUGACUCAUUUCGGUCCGGGGAGCUCACUUUGAGGGGAGUUGGAGUCCGCCUAGCCACUUAGGCCUGGACUCAGGGUUCUGCGGAAGUUACACCCCUGGUCAGACGUGGUAGCACUCCCAUCUUAUUCAAGAUCCUGUUUGAAAAUUACUGAGGCAGAAACUAGGAGUGAUUUCACAUCUCCCCAAGAGCUCCAGCGCUGCUGUUUCAAGGUCAUACUUACCUCUCAAGCACUGUAUUUGCGUCAUCUUCCUCGUCAUCUGCAGCCUUCCCCCAGGGUAUGUCCUCCGAAUGCUCUGGGAAGGCCCAAUUCACUGAAAACCUCUGUCCAAGUCAAGGAGGGGUGCCGUGCAACACGUAUCCCUACUCUGGUUCAUCUUAUCCAAUCUGUUUAUUGAACCAAGAUUCCUGUCACUUCCUUCCUUCUCCCUUGACUAUUACCGGCCCUACUCCCAGCCAUCUCAUAGCCUAAAAUGUUGAUUUUAUGAUUUGUCUAUUUCUUUCUGGAGAGAUCUUAAGGGAUCAACACAAGUGAAGUGGAAUAAAGGCAGGGAGUCGGGGGUGGGGGGUGGUUGAGGCAACAGUGGGGCUCAACUAAUUCAUGGCCUCCAUUUAUUGAGACCACAAGCCCUUGUAAAAGAGACCAAGUCUUUUAACGUCACGGGCCAUGUUUGGCACAGAAAUGGUGUCUCUAAAUGUUCAACAUUAACAAAACAAAUAGAAAAAAAAAGAACAAAACCCGGAAGUUUCUAAAAAUAAAAAAAGCCUGCUAGUCACUGAAAUUCCAGCAGAUGGCAGCCAUCUCCGUUCACCAAUACCAUGAUUGGAAGCUACAGGAGCAAAUUUUCUGCAAUUGACACAGGAAAGGAGGAAAUCAGGUAGGCAGAGGACAAAAGUAGUUUUCUAUCCACCUUUUUAGAGAGAUAUAUCUACGUUUGUCCAAAAAACAGGAUUUGUUUUCCAAAAGCUAAACACAAUCGUAGUGCACUUAAAAAAACCUGAGUCAGAAACAGCUGGAUUCCUAUUCCAAAAUGAUUUAUUAGUUUUAAGAAUUCAGGCCGGGCACGGUGGCUCACACCUGUUUUCCCAGCACUUUGGGAGGCCAAGGUGGGCGGAUCACAAAAGGUCAGGAGUUCAAGACCAGCCUGGCCAAUAUGGUGAAACCCCAUCUCUACUAAA